UACGUAGGGGGCAAGCGUUGUCCGGAUUUAUUGGGCGUAAAGAGCGUGUAGGCGGCCAGGUAGGUCUGCUGUGAAAACUCGAGGCUUAACCUCGAGCUGUCGGCGGAAACCAUCUGGCUAGAGUCCGGAAGAGGAGAAUGGAAUUCCCGGUGUAGCGGUGAAAUGCGCAGAUAUCGGGAAGAACACCCGUGGCGAAGGCGACGUCCUGGACCGGCAUUGACGCUGAGGCGCGAAAGCCAGGGGAGCAAACGGG
rnacentral:rRNA from 1 species